rnacentral:rRNA from 1 species
GGCCAGACUCCUACGGGAGGCAGCAGUGGGGAAUAUUGCGCAAUGGGCGAAAGCCUGACGCAGCGACGCCGCGUGAGGGAUGAAGGUCUUCGGAUCGUAAACCUCUGUCAGCAGGGAAGAACGGUCACUGUGCUAAUCAGCAGUGAAUUGACGGUACCUGACUAAGAAGCCCCGGCUAACUACGUGCCAGCAGCCGCGGUAAUACGUAGGGGGCAAGCGUUAUCCGGAUUUACUGGGUGUAAAGGGAGCGUAGACGGCAUGGCAAGUCAGAUGUGAAAGCCCGGGGCUCAACCCCGGGACUGCAUUUGAAACUGUCAGUCUUGAGUACCGGAGAGGUCAUCGGAAUUCCUUGUGUAGCGGUGAAAUGCGUAGAUAUAAGGAAGAACACCAGUGGCGAAGGCGGAUGACUGGACGGCAACUGACGGUGAGGCGCGAAAGCGUGGGGAGCAAACAGGAUUAGAUACCCUCGUAC